rnacentral:lncRNA from 1 species
GGGUCCUGCAGGGGUCAGGCGACCGUGCAGGAAGACCAGAAGGAAAGUAAUCUGCCGCAUCCAGAAUGAACAGAACAAAACCCCCGCACUCCAGGAAGAAGUCAGGAGCCCAGUGGGGGCUGCAGGUCCAGCCCACAACAACCUAGACAUGUGGGGUGCUCCAUGGCUCACGCUUAUGUCCUGCAGGCUGAAGCCCGCGCCAGGGUCCGCAGUCUUUGUUCCGGACGCAGAACCAGUGCUUCAGCUGGUUACCGAGGCGUCCCCGAAGGGGAAAGGGUGGACACGUGGGGCACCUGGCACUAUAGAGACUCAGAAAAUCCGCAGAUGUGGGGGGUCCUGCAGCAUCCAGGCAGACAUGCCGGCAGUCAGAGAGGAAAGUCCUCUGAAGCCUCUAGAAGGAAUGGAACAGGACCCAGCACUGCAGGAAGAAGUGGGGCACCCAGUGGCGGAUGCAGGCCCCACACACCGCCGCGGUAAACGUAUAAGGCUUUCCCUGGCCCUUGCCUGUUUCCUAGAAGCUGAAGCCGCGCGGAGGCCCAGGUUCGCCCUUCCACACACGGAAUAAGCUGUUGGACUGGCUGCCUCACCUAGGACCCGAGUUGCGCCAGAGAAAAUCGCGGAUGCUGCUUUCCCGCGGGCUGCAGUGUCUGUCACUUUAGCGACCGCAAUAACACUUCUCCCACAGGGACUCCGCGGUGCCCAGCUCUCCAGCCUGGGGAUUCUCAUCACACAGUGAUUCCAAAAGAAAUGAUCUACAAUGGCAUGACCAAGCGCCACAAACAGACAAACAUCUGAGGGAUGUCCAUUGGUCACUUUGAUUUUUCAAAGGUGACAAUUGUCCCUCCUUGAAAUCUUAAGAGAGCAUGAACAGGCUAUUCUAAUGGAUGUGCAAUUUACACUAAAACUGAUUGAAAGGUGAAUUCUGAUUCCAAGGUACUUUGUAUUCUCAAAUUGUGUCUGCUUCCCCUGACCCCCUCAAAAUGGGAGUGAUGACUACUUGUCUUCUUAGCACUGUGGGGACACAAAGCCUUAGAUGGAAGUGUGUCAAAAACAACAUUCCAUAAAAGGCCAUCACUUCCAAUUUUCAAGAAAGGUUGGAAACCAACCAUGAUGUAUGAAGCACUGUCAGCCAAAUUGAGCAAUUAGUAAUACAAAAUGAAUGGUAUAAACUAUUCUACAUGUGUGUGGCCAUGAUGGCAAUUUACACAUCGAAAAAACAUGGCCAAAUUCAGGAAGAGGAAUCUGUAAACUCACGGCUGUUGGGAAGCUUAAUGUCUGUGUACCGGAACCUAUCAAAGUUACUUCUCCAUGCCAGUCUGUCCAAACAAACCUUGAGUUGUUUAUUUCUAUGGAAUUCCUGUAGAAUCCUAAUGAGCAUGACCUUCUGGACCCAUCUUCACAGCUCUGGUGCCAGUGGAUUUGCACUUGCUCGUGUUUCUCCCUAUUUUGUUAAGGGUGGAAAUAUUUAGUGACAUGGUGGGUUGGAAAGGUACUGAAAUAAUGGCUGGGGCCUCCUGGGUGGGUGAGUCAGGGCUCCGGCAGCCUAAGACUUUUUACAAUAAGUAAGUUAUAGGUAAAGUUAGAAAAAAUAAAAAGAAAAUGGAAAUCAU